UACCCUUGACAUGUCCGGAAUCCCGCAGAGAUGUGGGAGUGCCCGAAAGGGAACCGGAACACAGGUGCUGCAUGGCUGUCGUCAGCUCGUGUCGUGAGAUGUUGGGUUAAGUCCCGCAACGAGCGCAACCCUUGCCAUUAGUUGCUACAUUCAGUUGAGCACUCUAAUGGGACUGCCGGUGACAAACCGGAGGAAGGUGGGGAUGAGUUUGCGUAACAGAA
rnacentral:misc_RNA from 1 species